CAGCUGCGUCCGGGGUGCUCCGAGUGCCCGCCCCACGGGGCAGCGCAGCCUCGCACUUACAGACUUUUUCCCCGUAAAUUAUAAUUUUGGUAUCGCUUGACCAGGAUGUGAUGACGUUUGACAGACAAACCUGAAGGAACAGAUUAAACGAUUUUGUUGGACUAAAAGAAUUUUACAUCCUGCUGUAGAACUCGUCUUUGCACGGCUAGUUCCUAUCAUCCCAGGGCAGCGGACCCAGCUCACCCACUCCGAGCUGCUAGACUCUGUCACCCCCUCAUGGCACAGAUUCCAACAGUGAUAAAUGUUCGUGGCUUAGACGGUGGGACAGGUCUGACUCCGAUGUGUUUCUCCACAGGAGGGCAGAAUAUGAACAGGAGUCCGCAGGGUGGGGGUGACUGUCCUACACAGGCAGAAGGAAGUGCCUUUCUGAAAUAUUUCGUAGUGUUUCUGAAAGUCAACAAAAAAAAAUUAUGAAUACCAAUUUUGUUGUCAAUCUGCACUUCUAAAAUCAACACGAGUUUGAUAACCAUCAUCUACUGAGAACUAUCUCAUGGGACAGCUAGCUAAAGGUCUCCCCAUCCCAACAAGCUCUGGGUCCCUCACAGGAGGAGCUGCCGCAGCCCGAGGCUGGAGGAGGCGUCACCUCUCCUGUCGCCUUUCGUGCCACUGCCGAUGUGCAUGGAGCUGCCUUAGAGUGGCUGCUCACUCACCUCUGGGAGUGCCGAAGAAGGGCCCUUACCUGCUCUGGCCCUGUGACUUCAUCACAUACAAGUGGCCCUAAAAUAAACACUUGCCUGGAAGAGGAGGAGGUGGCACCUGCUGCUUCCCUCUGCCUGGUCUGUGAGCACCAACCCUCCAGCAGUAUCUGCGUGGAGCUGUUCCCUCUCACACUCUGCCUAUUGCUACCUUCCCCUCAGGACAUUUUUCCAUUAA